UACGAAGGGGGGCUAGCGUUGCUCGGAAUCACUGGGCGUAAAGGGGUGCGUAGGCGGGUCUUUUAAGUCAGGGGUGAAAUCCUGGAGCUCAACUCCAGAACUGCCUUUGAUACUGAGGAUCUUGAGUCCGGGAGAGGUGAGUGGAACUGCGAGUGUAGAGGUGAAAUUCGUAGAUAUUCGCAAGAACACCAGUGGCGAAGGCGGCUCACUGGCCCGGUACUGACGCUGAGGCACGAAAGCGUGGGGGAGCAAACAGG
rnacentral:rRNA from 1 species